UACCGCGGCUGCUGGCACGAAGUUAGCCGGGGCUUCUUCUACGGCUACCGUCAUUAUCUUCACCGUUGAAAGAGCUUUACAACCCUAGGGCCUUCAUCACUCACGCGGCAUGGCUGGAUCAGGCUUGCGCCCAUUGUCCAAUAUUCCCCACUGCUGCCUCCCGUAGGAGUCUGGGCCGUGUCUCAGUCCCAGUGUGGCUGAUCAUCCUCUCAGACCAGCUAUGGAUCGUCGCCUUGGUAGGCCAUUACCCCACCAACUAGCUAAUCCAACGCGGGCUCAUCCAUCCCCGAUAAAUCUUUCCCCCUAAGGGCGUAUACGGUAUUAAUUCCAGUUUCCCGGAGCUAUUCCGUAGGGAUGGGUAGAUUCCCACGCGUUACUCACCCGUCUGCCGCUCCCCUUGCGGGGCGCUCGACUUGCAUGUGUUAAGCCUGCCGCCAGCGUUCGUUCUGAGCCAUGAUCAAACUC
rnacentral:rRNA from 1 species